rnacentral:rRNA from 1 species
AUGCUUACCAAAGACAACCUUAUUAAAAGGAAUUGGCAUGCAAGUGUGCAAUGUGUUUUCUGUCAGCAUAACGAAACAAUAAAACAUUUAUUCUUACAAUGUAAAUUAGCUCGUUCUGUAUGGUCAAUCAUCCAAAUAGCUUCUGGCUUGUAUCCUUCAUGUAGCGUUGCUAACAUUUUUGGCAACUGGUUACAUGGGAUUGAUUACAGGUUUAGAAUUCUUAUCAGGGUGGAAGUGCUUGCCAUUAUUUGGUCGCUUUGGCUGUGUAGAAAUGAUAAGGUGUUCAACAACAAAAGUAUUUCUUUUAUGCAGGUUAUCUACAGGUAUACCAGUAUGCUCCGUUUACGGUUGUCUCUGCAACGUGUGCAGAAUCAAGACCUAUUUACGGAGAUGUGUACAUGCUUGGAGGGUACGGCCAGGGAUACUUUUACCCAACAUGGAUGA